GACGAACGCUGGCGGCGUGCUUAACACAUGCAAGUGGAGCGACGAACCAGGGCUUGCCCUGGGGCAGAGCCGCGAACGGGUGAGUAACACGUGGGUUACCUGCCCCGAUGACCGGGACAACCCGAGGAAACUCGGGCUAAUACCGGAUGUGGUCUUCGGACGAAAGGAAGCUUCGGCCUCCGCAUCGGGAUGGGCCCGCGGCGCAUUAGCUUGUUGGUGGGGUAACGGCCUACCAAGGCGA
rnacentral:rRNA from 1 species